GAUGAAGAACGCAGCGAAAUGCGAUAAGUAAUGUGAAUUGCAGAAUUCAGUGAAUCAUCGAAUCUUUGAACGCACAUUGCGCCCGCCAGUAUUCUGGCGGGCAUGCCUGUUCGAGCGUCAUUACAACCCUCAGGCCCCCGGGCCUGGCGUUGGGGAUCGGCGGAGCCCCCCGUGGGCACACGCCGUCCCCCAAAUGCAGUGGCGGUCCCGCCGCAGCUUCCAUCGCGUAGUAGCUAACACCUCGCGACUGGAGAGGGGCGCGGCCACGCCGUAAAACACCCAACUCUUCUGAAGUUGACCUCGAAUCAGGUAGGAAUACCCGCUGAACUUAAGCAUAUCAAUAAGCGGAGGA
rnacentral:misc_RNA from 1 species